CGCAAACACUCUGGAGAGACCGGUUGAAUCCGGCGCCGAAGGGGCACCAGGUGCGGCAGUGAAUCGCCCGCCUCCAAACUCUCAGGCAAAAGGACAGAGGGGCGCCC
rnacentral:ncRNA from 2 species